GAUGAACGCUGGCGGCGUGCUUAACACAUGCAAGUCGAACGAUGAAGCCCAGCUUGCUGGGUGGAUUAGUGGCGAACGGGUGAGUAACACGUGAGUAACCUGCCCUUGACUCUGGGAUAAGCGCUGGAAACGGCGUCUAAUACCGGAUACGAGCUUCCACCGCAUGGUGAGUUGCUGGAAAGAAUUUCGGUCAAGGAUGGACUCGCGGCCUAUCAGGUAGUUGGUGAGGUAACGGCUCACCAAGCCGACGACGGGUAGCCGGCCUGAGAGGGUGACCGGCCACACUGGGACUGAGACACGGCCCAGACUCCUACGGGAGGAAGGAGUGGGGAAUAUUGCACAAUGGGCGCAAGCCUGAUGCAGCAACGCCGCGUGAGGGACGAAGGCCUUCGGGUCGUAAACCUCUUUUAGCAGGGAAGAAGCGAAAGUGACGGUACCUGCAGAAAAAGCACCGGCUAACUACGU
rnacentral:rRNA from 1 species